rnacentral:rRNA from 1 species
UAACACGUAGAUGACGUACCCUCAAGACGGGGAUAACGGAUGGAAACAUGCGCUAAUACCGGAUGACCUUACGAUGUCAGAAUGGUAAGGAAAGCUACGGCGCUUGAGGAGCGGUCUGCGGCCCAUCAGCUAGUUGGUAGGGUAAAGGCCUACCAAGGCGAAGACGGGUAGGAGGUGUGAGAGCACGGCCCCCCACAAUGGGACUGAGACACGGCCCAUACUCCUACGGGAGGCAGCAGCAGGGAAUAUUGCACAAUGGACGGAAGUCUGAUGCAGCGACGCCGCGUGAGUGAAGAAGGCCUUCGGGUUGUAAAACUCUUUUGAGGGGGAAGAGCGAGGACGGUACCCCUGGAAUAAGCGUCGGCUAACUACGUGCCAGCAGCCGCGGUUAGACGUAGGACGCGAGCGUUAUCCGGAUUUACUGGGCGUAAAGCGUCUGUAGGCGGAUGUGUAAGUUGGGCGUGAAAGCUCCGGGCUUAACCCGGAGAGGCCGUUCAAUACUGCAUAACUUGAGGGUGUCAGAGGGGAGCGGAAUUCCCGGUGUAGCGGUAAAAUGCGCAAAGAUCCGGGAGGAACACCAG